rnacentral:rRNA from 1 species
CCCCUAGAUGUUCUGGGCCGCACGCGCGCUACACUGAACAGUUCAACAAGUCUUAACCUUGGCCGACAGGUCUGGGUAAUCUUUGAACGCUGUUCGUGAUUGGGAUAGACCUUUGCAAUUAUGGGUCUUCAACGAGGAAUUCCUAGUAAUCGCAGUUCAUCAAACUGCAAUGAUUACGUCCCUGUCCUUUGUACACACCGCCCGUCGCACCUACCGAUUGAAUGGUCCGGUGAGGACUCGGGAUUGUGGUUUAGCUCCUUCAUUGGGGCCUGACUGCGAGAACUUGUCCGAACCUUAUCAUUUAGAGGAAGGUGAAGUCGUAACA